AGUCGGGGUGCUGCCUUGCGCGGCUGAGAACAUACCCGUUGCACCUGAACCGGUUAAUGCCGGCGGAGGGAACUC
rnacentral:ncRNA from 1 species